UGGUAUAUGACCUCCUAGGACAUUCGGCUGGUAAGGGAAGAACGCCUCCAGUCAGCAUGUGUACAACUCCAGUAAACACACUGAGCAGGCUCCCCUUCCAAGUGCUAGCAGGGCACUGUGCAUGCGGACAGCCCACCCCAAGGGAAGAAUCAGGGGAGAAGGAACACAAGACCGUGGGAGUAUGCCAAGUCAAACCCUAAGUCAAAAGGUCAAACCACACACAUGAUCUCUCAAGUCACCAGUUUGGCCCUCUUCUAAAUGUACUUUACUUUCUUUGCAUUCCUGCUCUAAAGCUUUUUAAUAAAGUUUCACUCCUGCUCUAAAACUUGCCUCGGUCUCUCCUUCUCCCUUAUGCCUUUCAGUCAAAUUGUUUCUUCCUAGGAGGCAAGGCCUACUGCAGACCUGUACAGUAAGAAAGACCUACUGCAGACCUGCAUGGAUUUGCCACCAGUAAUAGUGUGGCAUGGUGUGGCGUGCCCCUUCCUCUUGGGAACUAUGACUGAGUUUCAGAGAGGGAAGAGACUUGCCUAAGACAACACAACAAGUGAGUGACAGUCAAAUCUGACUCCAGGCCCUUUUUGCUCCAUUUAAUAGAUGGAAUGUAAGCUCAGCACAAGGAAAUGACUCGCCCAACUCUACACAGCUAGGACUGCAUCUCAGUCUUUUGACCUCAGUGCAGGGGUCUUUUCAUCACCUUCAGUCAGCAACUUCACCAGUACAGAAUUGCUUAGAGGAAUGAAUAUAAGGCAGAGGGUAAGAGAAAGCCUGACACGCUUUUUUUUUUGUACUAAAUGCUGAUGGUAUCUUAAGGAGAGCAUGUCAUGGGAAGUGCUGAAAAUGAUCAGAGACCUGGGUUGGCCAGGUCUCUGAAUCUUGUAGCAAAUAAAACCAGGCUUUGUGGUCAGACUUUGUAGCAACCAACAGCUGGUUCCCUGUGUCAUCCCAGCCCCGACUGCUAUUUCUUUCCUAGUAUUAAGUAGGCAUUUUUGUGAUAUAGGCUCACCCCAGCCUGCAGGCUUUGGGAAACCCAUCUGCUAUCCUUCCUAUUCAUCUAUUUCAACAUGAGCCUUCAAAAAUAAUAAACACAGUGUGGGUCACUGUGAAAAUGAAACUGAAGAAAAGCUGACAUCAAGAACUUACAUUAUAAAAGUGGAAUCACAUUUUAGGAACUUUCUUCAAGCCCGCUGAACAACCCCACUCUGCAAAAUUAUGUUGAUUUGCCAUUUGCCUAAUAAUGGGAAUGAUAAAGUGAAGACUGAGACAGCAUCUAUUUGUAAAAGUCAACAUUGAUUUUCUCCCCUUGUACAU